UACCGUAGCUCAGUGAAGAAUUUGCUUUUCCUGCCCCCUCCAGAGCGGCCCGUGUGAAGUGUUUGUUUGUUUGUUUGUUUGUUUGUUUGUUUGUUUUGUCAGUGUCUGUUGCUGGAGCACAAGGGCAGGACGGUGUACCCGCUGACUGCACUGGAGCUGCUGGGCUGUGGGCCGGACCACUGGGCUCUGGCUAGGCUGGGCCGAGCUGUGGCCCUCAGCUCCAUCACCACCCUCAGCCUGGACUACACACCCAUUGGACUGGAGGGGUUGGAAGGCCUGCUCCGUGCUAUGGAGGGGAACAACCAUGUGCUUUCCCUGAGUUUGUGUUACUGUGGACUGGGAGCUUGGAGCGGAUCUCCCCUCGCCUCCUUCGUCACCAACAGUGUGGUCCGGCACCUCUACAUCAAUGGCAACGAGCUGCAGAGAGGGGGCGCCACUGAGCUGCUGCAGCCUCUGGCAGAACAUGCAGCGCAGACCGCUAUGACUCAACAGCAGACCACAAAUCCCACAGGCACGUAGUGUAGUGUGUGUUCAUGUGUGUGUGAAGUAGAGAGAGAGAGAUGUACAUGAGAUGU
rnacentral:lncRNA from 1 species